GACGAACGCUGGCGGCGUGCUUAACACAUGCAAGUCGAACGGAAAGGCCCUGCUUUUGUGGGGUGCUCGAGUGGCGAACGGGUGAGUAACACGUGAGUAACCUGCCCUUGACUUUGGGAUAACUUCAGGAAACUGGGGCUAAUACCGGAUAGGAGCUCCUGCUGCAUGGUGGGGGUUGGAAAGUUUCGGCGGUUGGGGAUGGACUUGCGGCUUAUCAGCUUGUUGGUGGGGUAGUGGCAUACCAAGGCUUUGACGGGUAGCCGGCCUGAGAGGGUGAGCGGCCACAGUGGGACUGAGAUACGGCCCAGACUCCUACGGGAGGGAGCAGUGGGGAAUAGUGCACAAUGGGCGGAAGCCUGAUGCAGAAACGCCGCGUGCGGGAUGACGGCCUUCGGGUUGUAGACCGCUUUCGCCUGUGACGAAGCGUGAGUGACGGUAAUGGGUAAAGAAGCACCGGCUAACUACGUG
rnacentral:rRNA from 1 species